rnacentral:rRNA from 1 species
CAGCCGCCGCGGUAAUACGGAGGGUCCGAGCGUUAUCCGGAAUUAUUGGGUUUAAAGGGUCCGUAGGCGGGCGAUUAAGUCAGUGGUGAAAGUCUGCAGCUCAACUGUAGAAUUGCCUUUGAUACUGGUCGUCUUGAGUUAUAGUGAAGUUGCCGGAAUAUGUAGUGUAGCGGUGAAAUGCAUAGAUAUUACAUAGAACACCGAUUGCGAAGGCAGGUGACUAACUAUAUACUGACGCUGAUGGACGAAAGCGUGGGGAGCGAACAGGAUUAGAUACCCUGGUAGUCCACGCCGUAAACGAUGGAUACUAGCUGUCCGGAACCUUGAGUUCUGGGCGGCCAAGCGAAAGUGAUAAGUAUCCCACCUGGGGAGUACGUUCGCAAGAAUGAAACUCAAAGGAAUUGACGGGGGCCCGCACAAGCGGUGGAGCAUGUGGUUUAAUUCGAUGAUACGCGAGGAACCUUACCAGGGCUUAAAUGCAUUUUGACAGGGGUAGAGAUACCUUUUCCUUCGGGCAAUUUGCAAGGUGCUGCAUGGUUGUCGUCAGCUCGUGCCGUGAGGUGUCAGGUUAAGUCCUAUAACGAGCGCAACCCCUACUGUUAGUUGCCAGCAUGUCAUGAUGGGGACUCUAACGGGACUGCCGGUGCAAACCGUGAGGAAGGUGGGGAUGACGUCAAAUCAUCACGGCCCUUACGUCCUGGGCCACACACGUGCUACAAUGGCAGGUACAGAGAGCAGCCAUGUCGCAAGGCAGAGCGAAUCUACAAAACCUGUCACAGUUCGGAUCGGGGUCUGCAACUCGACCCCGUGAAGCUGGAAUCGCUAGUAAUCGGAUAUCAGCCAUGAUCCGGUGAAUACGUUCCCGGGCCUUGUACACACCGCCCGUCAAGCCAUGGAAGCCGGGAGUGCCUGAAGUCCGUCACCGUAAGGAGCGGCCUAGGGCAAGAUUGGUAACUAGGGCUAAGUCGUAACAAGGUAGCCGUA